rnacentral:snoRNA from 11 species
AGCCCGUGAUGAGCUCUUCCAUUUAUUUUCUGACACCUCGUCUGAACACUGCGCUUGCAGUGAACUGAUUAUGAACAUGAGCUGAGGCUU